UUACUGUUUCUGAAAACCAUUUUCAAGGAACAAUCCCUAAAAGCUUGAGAAAUUGCACAAGCUUAAUCCGAGUACGCCUUAAUGGAAACAACCUUACUGGAAAUAUAUCAGAAGCUUUGGGCAUUUAUCCUAACUUGACUUUCAUAGAUCUCAGCCGCAAUAAUUUUUACGGUGAAAUCUCGUCUAACUUUGGGGAAUGCCCAAAAUUAGGCACUAUCAACGCUUCGAUGAAUAACAUUACUGGAGGUAUACCGCGUGAGAUUGGAAACUCAUCUCAACUACAAGCACUCGAUCUUUCAUUGAAUCAUAUAGUUGGGGAGAUUCCAAAGGAACUUGGGAAGUUAAAUUCUCUAACCAAGCUCAUUGUGAGAGGGAAUCAACUUACAGGACGCCUGCCUACAGAAAUCGGCGCAUUCAAUGAACUUGAAUACCUCGACUUAUCUGCAAAUAGAUUCAACAAUUCAGUCCCAGAAAGUCUCGGCAACUUGCUGAAACUGCACUGCUUGGGUUUAAGCAACAACCAGUUUGUCCAAGAAUUGCCAAAGGAAUUGGAGAAGCUAGUUCAACUUUCAGAAUUAGAUGCAAAUCAUAACCUCUUUCGAGGAGAGAUACCAUUUCAAAUAUGCAGUUUGAAAAGCUUGGAAAAGUUGAAUCUCUCCCACAAUAAUCUCUCUGCUUCGAUUCCAAAUUGCUUUGAGGGAAUGCACGGUCUAUCAGUCAUUGACAUUUCUGAUAAUCAUUUGCAAGGCCCAGUUCCAAAUAGCACAGCAUUUCGGAAUGCCCCAGUGGAAGCGUUAGAGGGAAAUAAGGAAUUGUGUGGAAGUGUGAAAGGAAUGCACCCAUGCAAAGUUUUCUCGUCACACAAACAAAAUUCUGGAGCCAAGUGGUUUGCAAUAGUGUUCCCUGUUUUAGGAGCACUAUUUGUUUCAGUGGCGUUGAUAGCAAUUUUCAUUCUUCGAAAGUGGAAGUCAGACUCAGGAGAUCGACAGAGUAGCAACCAGAACCCUAAGGGAUUGUUUUUUAUAUUAAAUUUUGAAGGCAAACUUGUGUACGAUGAAAUUGUUAGAGCAACAAAUGAUUUUGAUGCAGAGUAUUGCAUUGGAAAUGGUGGACACGGAAGUGUUUAUAGAGCUGAGCUACCAUCUGGGGAAGUCGUAGCUGUUAAGAAAUUUCACUCACCACUCCCAUGCGAUCAGAUUGCAGAUCAAAAAGAAUUCUUGACCGAAGUUGAGGCCUUCACAGAGAUACGACAUCGAAACAUUGUGAAGUUUUAUGGAUUUUGCUCACAUCCCCGACACUCUUUUUUGGUCUAUGAAUUUCUUGAAAGAGGUAGCUUGGCUGCGAUCUUGAGCAGUGAUGCAGCAGCACAAGAACUGGGUUGGUGUCAGAGAAUGAACGUGAUCAAAGGCGUAGCCGAUGCCUUGUCUUACUUGCACCAUGACUGCUUUCCUCCGAUUGUCCAUCGAGACAUAUCAAGUAAGAACUUGUUGCUGGAUUUGGAAUAUGAAGCUCAUGUUGCAGACUUUGGAAUCGCUAAGUUUCUGAAGCCAGACUCCUCCAACUGGACUGAAUUUGCAGGCACAUACGGAUACGUUGCACCAGGUAUUUAGUAUUCGUUUGUUACCAUUUUGAGUAAUAUUUUUGUGUUAUGUGUGCAGUAACAGAACAAUGCAACUAGAUAUUGUUUUAAAAAUUAUGCAUUACAUUCAUUAGACUUGCAAAAUCUCACUAGUUUAUGCACAAUUAUCUCAGAAACAGAGUAAACAUUUUUUUUUUGGUCCUUGACCUUGCAGAGCUUGCUUACACAAUGAAGAUCACAGAGAAAUGCGAUGUGUACAGUUUUGGAGUGUUAGUGUUGGAAGUGAUCAAAGGGAAGCAUCCAAGAGAUUUUCUUUCUUCAAUUUCAUCUUCAUCUCUCAACACGGAUACAGCACUUGAUGAAAUGUUGGACCCGCGUCUUCCAGCCCCAUCAUGCAAUGUUCAAGAAAAACUGAGAUCAAUCGUGGAGGUUGUGUUUUCAUGCUUAAAUGAGAGUCCGGAGUCUAGACCAACUAUGAAGAUAGUCAGUCGACAAUUGCAGAUUUCAGCUCCCUUGACUAAGUCUUAAUUUUCUAAGUAUGCUUCUAAUUUGCUUGGUUUAUUUGUCUCAUGUACUUUAGUUUGUUUGGUUUAGUUUUCAAGAUUCAGGAGGCGUUGGUUAUUACGUCAUCCUUAUAUGCUUUAUAUACAGUGUACUCUUUCAUUUAUAAAUAAAAUAAAGUUUGCACGUGGGGCAGUGGUGAGCACAUUUGAGGACAUGUGGAGUCUGUACAAUGAAGACCAAGAUUAGUAAGACAGUUUGUAAUAAUUAAAAAUAAUGAUUUCUUGCGACAUCUACAAAGAGGUGAACCCCUCAAAUGCUAAAAGAAAAGAAUAUAUAUGGGGGAAAAAUUAAAAAUUGAGGAUAAUUUACAAUGUAGUCCUAGUGAUUUAACCAAAAAUCAGAUAAACCAAUAAUAAAUAGUUUUUUUUUUUUUGAAUGAUUUGUCUUAGCUUUGAGUAAACGAUUUGAAGGAACUUAUCGCUCUCACCAAUUGUCUUGAAUGCUCUAAUGGCUUACACUUUGUAGAAUCGCCAAUGUUGUGAUAAUAACUUUGAUGGUUAAAAUUUGAUUGUGAAUUUCGGUUGAAUGAUUUAAUGUACGUUUGAUUCUUAUGCCGACCUCUACCAAGUUAAUCUUUUUUUCUGGAUGUUUAAUUUUUUUUAUGUCAAAGUUUAUUAGUUGAUGCCCUAUAUUCGAUCAAUGUGGAUGGCUGAUCAAAAUUAAAGAAUCCUUGAACGAAUUGCGGCCUUGACAGAGAUACGACAUCAGGGCAUUGUAAAACAAGACUGACAUUCAAUUUUAGUGUAUGAAUUUCUUGAAAGGGGUUGGAGUCAGAGAAUGAACGGGAUAAAAUUUAACAUGUUUGCACCACCUUUCUUUUUAAACUUAUAUCAAUUAGUCACUUUUGCACUAAUACUAUUAAAUAAUUUAAAUGAAAUGAUAAUUUUAUCCCCAAAUAAAUUAAAAGAUCAUUUUAUUUUAUAAAAACUUUGAAAAAUACGAAAAUUAUUAUUAUAAAAAUACCCCUAAGUUUAAUAAAAAAUAAAUCCCAAAAUUAAAAUUUUUAUUUUUAAUAAAAAUUGUAAUUAUAAAAAAAAAUUGUAAAAUUUUGGGAUUUAAUAAAAACCCCCUAAAUUAUUAAAAUUUUGGGAUUUAUUUUUAAUAAAUAAAUUCAGUUAUUUUAAUAAAAUUUUGCAAAAUAAUAAAUUUUUAAUAAAUAAAAUCAGUUAUUUAAUUAAAAUUUUACACAUUUUUAAUUUUUAAUAAAAAUAAUUAUUAAAAUUUUACAAAAUCUAAAUUUAAUAAAAAUCAGUUCAGCACCUCUAUUUGGAUUUUAUUUUUUAUUGAAUUUAUGGGUAUUUUUAUAAUAAUAAUUUUCGUAUUUUCAAAAUUUUUAUAAAAUAAAAUGAUCUUUUAAUUUAUUUGGGGAUAAAAUUGUCAUUUCAUUUAAAUUAUUUAAUAGUGUUAGUUCAAAAGUGGAUAGAUGAUACAAAUUUAAAAAGAAAAGUAGUGCAAAGAACAUGUUAAAAUUUUGUAGUGGUUAAAUGAACAUAAGGAAAAGCAAAUGUGGUGUAAUGAUAAUUUUCUUUAAAAAAAUAAAGAACUAUAAUUUCUUGAAUAUUCGAUGAAUUAACAAAAGAAUUGUGAAUGAAGUUUUGUUUGGUAUUAAGAUAUUGUUAUCUUUAAAUCACAAUUAUUGUGAAAUAAUAAAAUUAUAAUAUAAAAGUAAAAGUUGACAACGUAUAAUAAAUAUAACUUUUAAAUAAUAAUUUUGACAAAAAUAAUAAAGAUAUUACAAGUUUCCUAUCAUUAAAAUCAAAUCAUUUUAGCUUGUAAGUCACAAUGAUGAUAGUUAUAAAUUCUUGUAUAAAUUUAUUUUAUAUAAAUUAAUGUGGUAUAAAUUUAUUGGUUAGGUAAAAAUAUAAAAUAAAAAUAAAUUAUGUAAAAUAAAAAAUAAUUUAUGUGAAAUAAAAAUUAUUUAAUUUAAUUAGUUUGAUUUUAAAAGACUACGUCCAAUCAGAGUUUUGAUUUUAAAUAUAUUUUAGUUUGAAGAGCGUACGGGGCAGUGAUGAACACAUUUGACAAGUUGGAAUGGGGGAUAUGUUGAAGAGUUUUGUAACUAAAAUGUUGUAGCUCAAAACCAAUUGACUUUUGUCUUUUCACUUGAUUAAAUUCAUGACAAUUCAAGAAAAGUUUUUAAUGUACGAACCUUAGUAUAAUUUUUCAAAUAGAGUUUAUUUUACUAUAGCUUUGUUAGUUGAAUUUUUACGAGUAAAAUUUUUAAAUAAAAAAUAAUUAUUAUUUGAUUGUCAAGAGCUUUUAUUAAAAAUUAUUACUUUAAUAGGCAAUUUCUUUUAAAAUUAUGUUAUAAAAAAUGAAAUAAGAUUGUCAAAUAAGUAAAUGAUAUUUUUAAAAUUUCAACAUUUUAAAAAGUUUUUCAACUUUUACUCUAAAAAAUCCAGAAUUUAAACUUUUGUUUGUAAAGGUAAAAUAACUUAUUUAAUCCUCAAAAACUCUACUAAAAAAUUUACUAACAACAAUAAUAAAUUUAAAAAGAGAUUAUGAUGAGAUUAAAUAAAUACUUAUGACCAUUAGAUAAGCGAUGCUAAACAAAGACUAAAAAAUAAAAAAGAAAUAAUGAAAACGCAAUAGAUCAGCUUAUGGGAGACAAAAUGAGUUUUACCUUCAUUAAAUACAAGAAAUAAAAAAAUUGAGAAGCUCCACACAGGAAGCAAGAAAAGUAGAGAACCAAAAGUUAACAUAAAUAAUAGUUAAAAAACCAUUAGCAUCUCUAGAAAGAAAAAGUGAAGCCUAUGCAAGAGGUGAAGACCACAAGUGAAAGAAAAGGUAAAGCAUCCACAUGAGGUAAAGAUCACCAAAUAAAGUCUGUACAACGAAGCUCAAGAUUAACAAUGACAAUCUUGAGCAGUAUUGCAACAUCAAAAGAACUUAUUCGGUUGGAGUCAGAAUGAAUGUGAUAAUAUUUGCUCCACGAUUUCUUUCCACCGAUUGUCCAUCGAGGCAUAUCAAGCAAGAAUGUGUUCUUGCAUUUGGGACAAAAUUUUAAUUACAUCUCAACUUCGUAAAUAGAAGUAGUUAUUGUUGAAAUAUAAUUAAAGUAGCGAGAGGCCAUGAUACGACACUCUUAGAGCGAGUGCAGGCUCCAAUCGGUUUAGAAAAAAAUUUGAGCAAGAAAACUGAGACAGGGGAAUUGCAAAGAAAGAAGGGAGACGAAGUGGAUAAUAAGACAAAUGAUAUUUUCCUUGAAUGACCUCACAGGUCCCUUGACAGUACAAAUAUAUUCUUCUUGCCGAAACAGCCACGCACCCUUAACUAACUAAAUAUAAUAAAAUCGAUAAUAACAGUAAAACAAUAAUUGAAAACAGGACAAUAUUCGUUAUUAUGAUAUCCCAAGCAUUCUCGAACUUUCUUCAAAUAACAAAGUCUUUGAGCCAUAUUGGUUUCUUUCUCGCGCGAGCUGGACCUGUCUUGAGCUGCUCUCUAGCUUGAUUCUCAUUCAAGGGUUGGGCUUCUUCCAUUUCUAUAGGUUGGGUUUCUUCCCUUGCUGUCUCCUUGAGCUCGAUCUGAUUCACAGCAAUGGGCCAAGUCGUAUCAUUCCCCAUUCCUUGAAAGCGUACCUUGUUCGGAAGGUGUAGUGCAGGAUAAGUUUACGAAAUUCCUCAAAGUCCUCCCAAGUGGAAUUUUCUGGUGAGCUAUCAGACCAUUGCUCCAAAAUUUGUGGAAUUUCUUUGCCUUGUCGAAGUAUCUUUCGCUCAGCACAUAUAGCAAUCGGCAGUGAAAGGGGCUUGUUAUCUACACUUCCUGGAGGCAGUGAAUAAACGUCAAUGGAGGAGUUUCCCAUAUAAGGUUUGAGUAAGGAAAUAUGAAACACCGGGUGAAUUCGACAAUCCGUGGGUAAAUCUAACUUGUUAGCAACAGGUCCAAUGCGCUCAACCACGGCGAAUGGUUCGUAAUAGCGCCUUGCCAGCUUGUGAGAUGAGCGUUUAGCAAUUGAUGCCUGACGAUAUGGCUGAAGGCGCACCAGCACUUUAUUAACCACCUGCAAUUGAGAUUCUCGGCGAUGUAAGUUAGCCUUUUGAGCCAUUCGGUGCUGACCUUGUCGUAAGUUCUCUUUCAAUGAGCAAAGCAUGGCAUCCCUCUCAAUUAACAUAUCUUCUAAAGCUUGGAUUGAAGUAGAGCCCUUUGAGUAACUUGGAAUUGUAGGAGGAAGUCGGCCAUAAAGGGCUUGAAAGGGAGUCAUACGCAAGCUGCUAUGAUAACUUGUAUUGUAGCAAAAUUCAGCCCAUCCUAAAAAUGAAGACCAUGUCUGUGGCUUGUCUUGUGUGAAGGCUCGUAAAUAUUGCUCAAGCCCCCUAUUAACUACUUCGGAUUGGCCAUCCGUUUGAGGGUGAUAGGUCAUGCUGUGGCGUAAUUGUGUCCCAUUUAAUUCAAACAAUUUCUGCCAAAAGUUGCUCAUGAAGAUAGGAUCACGAUAUGAAAUUAUAGAGGUAGGAAAUCCAUAUAACUUUACAACCAUGUCAACAAAUAAAUUUGCUGUUUUGACGGCAGUAAAUUGAGAAGGCAAGGCUCCAAAGUGAGCUGACUUUGACAAACGGUCCACAACAACUAGAAUUACUUCAAAUCCUCUCGAAAGUGGCAGCCCUAUAAUGAAAUCCAUGGUUAACUUAUCCCAAACUAAUGAAGGGACAGGCAAAGGUUGUAACAACCCCGUCGGCGCUUGAGUUGAAUAUUUAAUUUGCUGGCAAACAAGGCAAGCGGCUACAUGCUGCUCAACAUCUUUCCUCAUCUUAGGCCAAAAGAAAGUAGAUGAAAGACGUACCAAUGUCUUUUUAAUACCAGCAUGUCCUGCCAUAGGUGUCUUAUGAAAUUCUUUGAGUAGCACGGUUUUUAAUGAUGAGUGGGGGCUGAGAUAAUAUCGAUGUCGAAAUAGCAGUAACCCUUCUUGAACUGAGAAAUCAGAAGUGAGUGAACCAGCUGCGUACCUCUGAUGGAGUUACUUCAUAUCAAGAAGGGAGCAAUUUUCCUAGUGCAGAGCUGUCAAUAUUUCACUAGAAGGUUGACUUACCAACGACAAACAAAGAGUUGUUGGUUUGGGUUCUUCAAUCACAUUUUCCUCAUGAAUUCGCGAUAAAGCAUCAGCAGCUUUAUUGGAGUUACCAGCUUUAUAAUCAAUUCUGAAUUGAUAACCCAUCAACUUACGAAUGUAAAAUUGCUACUCUGGUGUGUGAAUAACUUGUUGAAACAAUUCCUUUAUGCUUUUAUGGUCAGUGCGUAUAAAGAAAAAUCGGCCAAUGAGGUAUUGACGCCAUUUUUGAACUGCAGUGACAAUGGCAUAUAAUUCCUUCAAAUAUGUCGAGGCUGCACGCAUUCGAGGACCCAACUUUUUGCUAAAAUAAGAUAGAGGAUGCCCGGCUUGCAUUAGCACAGCACCGAUCCCAACAUUAGAAGCAUUGGUCUCAAUGACGAACUCCAAGGUAAAAUUCGGCAAGUGAAGUACAGGAGCUUCCACAAGGGCCUUCUUUAAUGCUUGAAAAGCUUGAGUAGCUGUAGGAUUCCAAUGAAAAGCCUCCUUAUAGCCUUGAAUAAAACGUCGGUAGUACCCUGUCAGGCCCAAGAACCCUCUCAGUUGCUUCACUGAUUUCCGUAAAGGCCAAUCCACCAUGGCUGUGAUCUUUUGAGGAUCCGCAUGCACUCCUCGAGCCGACACAAUAUGGCCUAAAUAAUCAAUUGAUUCCUGACAAAAUAAACAUUUGGAGAGUUUGACAUAAAAUUGAGAUGUGUAUAAACAACUCAUGACCUGCUCCAAAUGAUACACAUGAUCAGCCAAUGAUGCACUAUAUACCAAUAUAUCAUAAAAAAAAAAUAAUAACAAAUUUGUGUAAAAAGGAAGCAAAUAGUUGGUUCAUUGUUGCUUGAAAAGUAGACGGCGCGUUGGUCAAACCGAACGGCAUAACAAGAAACUCAUAGUGUCCUUCAUGCGUGCGAAACACUGUUUUAUAAGUAUCCCUUUUGUGAACUCUUAUCUGGUGAUAUCCGGCUCGUAGAUCAAGUUUACUGAAAAUCUGAGCACCGCCCAGUUCGUCAAACAAUUCAUCAAUGGUGGGGAUGGGAAAUUUGUCCUUUACUGUCACCGCAUUCACAGCGCGGUAAUCCACACAGAAUCUAUACGAGCCAUCUUUUUUCUUUACUAGCAUUACCGGUGAAGAAAACGGGCUUUGGCUGGGUUUUAUGAUGCCUUGGGUUAGCAUUUCUCUCACCAAUUUCUCCAUUUUGGUUUUUUGAAAAUAAGGAUACCGAUACGGGCGAACGUUGACUGGUUUGGAAUUGGGAAUAAGAUGUAUUUUGUGAUCAAAUAACCAUUGAGGGGGAAGACCAGUGGGUGAAGUAAAUAAUGCUUUAAAUUUUUGAAGGAGAGUAGUAAUAGAUUCAGGCAACGACUCUGGUAAUGCUAAGUCAUUAUCCGGUAAUGUGUUGGUAGAUGUGUGAGUUGCUGAUGGUUCAGUUGGUAGAGAAUGAAGUUCAAAUAAGCUGUCGAUUUUGGAAUUGGAUAGCAAGGCCUAAAAUUGAUUAAAAGAGAUCAGAUUUGGGUUUGGAAUUGUGUCUCCACGUAAAAUGACAGAUUGUCCCUCCUACUUAAACUCCAUUGUCAUCUCAGAGUAAUCCAUAGAAAUUCUUCCCAAGCUUUGUAACCAUUGGAUCCCAAGGACAACAUCUGGGCCUUCGAUUGGCAACAAGAAGAAGUCCAAAAGAAAUUCAUGCCCCUGCAUAUUGAUAGGCACCUUAGGGCAGAGAAAACGACAAGUGAGAAAAUCACCAUUGCCAAUGUAAACUCGAAAAGGAGUUAUAGCUUGAACGGAAAGGCCAAGUCGUUCAGCCAAUGGCGGCUUAAGAAAAUUAUGAGUACUGCCACUGUCGAUUAAACCCUGAAACUGAUAGCUUGCAAGGAUGCCCAGCACCCUUAAAGAUCGUGGAUUAGAUUGUCCAGUCAAGGCAUUCAAACUGGAUAUGUCAGCUGUGACUACUUCUUCCGGUUGUUCAUGAAUAAAAGUGUCAUCACUCGGCUCAUCAUCUUCAUCAUCGGUACCCAUUAAUAACAGAAACUUGCUACGACAGCGAUGUGUGGCAUGAUAUUUUUUGUCACAAUUGUAACAUAGCCUUUUUUCUCUUAUCUCUCUUAACUCUGCUGGAGUUAAUCUAUGAAUGGGCAGGGUAGGAGUAGGCAAUAAUGAGGGUUGAGGUGGUUGUUUAGUGGCUGACAAACUAGGAAGAGGAGUUGUUGUUUGGGUUUUAUACAGUGCAGGAUUUGGUGAAGCAGUAAUGAGGGUGUCCAUUUUGUCCAAGAUCGGCUGGAGGUCUUGAUUUCUUCCGAUCGUGCCUCAUAAGCUUUGGCUAGGGCAAAAGCCUCCAUGAGAGAUGUGGGUCUUGCAACGUAUAUCGGGUUUUAAGCCCGUGAUAAAGAAACUAACCAGCAGUGGUUCGGAGAUGCCCGUGACCUUGUUCAUCAAAUCCUCAAAGGCAGAUUGAAAAUCAGCAACAGUCGAUAUUUGGGUAAGUUUGGAGAGGUUACCUUGAUGAUCUUCAUACAUAGAUGUACCAAAUCUUUGCUUAAGAUUGAGUAAAAAAUUCUGCCAAGUGCUUAGCAAGUUGUUGGCCUUCAUCCAUUGAUACCAUGCUGCUGUUUUCCCCUCUAUGUGAAAAGAUACAAUACGGAGGCGUAAAUGGUCAGGGGUGCCAUGAAAAUCGAAGAACUCAUUGAUGCAAAAAUCCCAACCAUUCGGAUCAGUGCCAUCAAAUUUUUGGACAUCCAUUUUCAUAGAACGCAACAGAGGAGAGAUAUCAGUAACACCUGACAGUACAGGCGAAGACGUUGGUUCCGGCACCGUUGGACGGGAAGAACCCACUGAAGCUCCGACGGAACCAUUGAUUUGGGAACGUAACUCCUCAAAUCGAGAAUCAACCGUGGACAUAUAUUGCUGUAAGGUCUGAUAAACAGCAAGCGUUUGAUUUUCAAUGAGCGUCUUCAUGGUAGAGAGAAUCGUUGAAUCAGUCGUUGGCUCUGUGAUAGUCAUUUUUUUUUUUUAUGUGAAAGAGAUGAAAUGCAAUGAAAGCACCAGUUGAUACGACACUCUUAGAGCGAGUGCAGGCUCCAAUCGGUUUAGAAAAGAAUUUGAGCAAGAAAACUGAGACAGGGGAAGUGCAGAGAAAGAAGGGAGACAAAGUGGAGAAUAAGACAAAUGAUAUUUUCCUUGAAUGACCUCACGGGUCCUUUGACAGUACAAAUAUAUUCUUCCUACCGAAACAGCCACGCACCCUUAACUAACUAAAUAUAAUAAAAUCGAUAAUAGCAGCAAAACAAUAAUUGAAAAUAGGACAAUAUUCGUUAUUCUAAUAUCCCAAGCAUUCUCGAACUUUCUUCAAAUAACAAAGUCUUUGAGCCAUCUUGGUUUCUUUCUCGCGCGAGCUGGACCUAUCUUGAGCUGCUUUCUAGCUUGAUUCUCAUUCAAGGGUUGGGCUUCUUCCAUUUCUGUAGGUUGGGUUUCUUCCCUUGCAGUCUCCUUGAGCUCAAUCUGAUUCACAGCAAUGGACCAAGUCGUAAGGCCAUUUGAAGUGUAAAGAAGGGUAGCUAUUGAUGGAUAAGUUAUGGGUCAGAAGGAGUCAAAAUUCGAUAAAACCUUUUGGGAUUGUAUGUAACAACAUUUUUUUUUCUCGGUUGGAUCUCAGUGUUUAUACAAAAGCAAAGAUUGGAUGACUAAAAUGUGACGCUAUACUUAUAAAGUAGAGAUAUAGAGUUUAUCACCAGUGUAACAUAUACAUGGUCUUUACACAAUUCACCAUAUGACAGUGAGAUGAUGAUAAGGUAAAUUAUCAAUUGAAAACAUGACAGUUUGUAGUAAUGUUAGAUCAUAUGAUAUGCUUAUUGAGUUAAUGGUCAGGUUCGGUCCAAUUGAAUAAGUCUAAAGUAGUAGUAAAGUUGAAUAAGUCUAAGUUAGUUGAGUUAUUAUCAACUUAGUUUGUCAAGUAUCCAGUUCUUGAUUUGUUGAGAUUUAUUUUGUUUCAUUCAUGUUUCUCUUUGGUCUGGCUUGUAUAAAUUAGCCAUUGUUGAAUAAUGAAGGCAUGAAUCAUUUUAUCAAAGAAAUACUUGUGUUACAUCUUGGAAGGAUUGGCUUCCUCGAAUUAGCCAACUGUUAACGUUAACCAAGUGUAAGGGCAAGAUAGGAAGAGACAAACAGAAUAAAUAUAGCUUGCCUGUACCAUCAUAUGUCACACUAGUUGAGAUUGAAAUAUAAAAUUAAGAAGACCUAUACUCGAAGUGGUUCUAACACAUUGUAGAUGCAAUUCAAUGCUUGAAUGGAUAUUUGCGAUGGAAUAUGAUUCUCUCCUGAUCUGAGCACUACUAAACUUUUAGACAAGGUUUACUCGACAUAGAAACAUUGUGAAGUUUUAUGGAUUUUGCUCACAAGCCCGACACUCUUUUAUGGUCUAUGAAUUUCUUGAAAGGGGUAGCCCAUGUCUUACUUGCACCAUGACUGCUUUCCUCCGAUUGUCCAUCGAGACAUAUCAAGUAAGAACUUGUUGCUGGAUUUGGAAUAUGAAACUCAUGUUGCAGACUUUGGAAUUGCUAAGUUUCUGAAGCCAGACUCUUCCAACUGGUCUGAAUUUGCAGGCACAUAGGGAUACGUUGCACCAGGUAUUUAGUAUUCGUUUGUUGCCAAUUUGAGGAAUAUUUUUAUGUUAUGGGUGUGGUAACAGGACAAUGUACCUAAACAUUGUUGAAAAAAAUUUGUACCUAAACAUUGUUGACAAAAAUUAUGUAGUACAUUCAGUAGACUUGUAAAAGCUUACUAGUUUAUGCACAUUUAUCUUAGAAACAGAGUAAACAAUUUCUUUUUUUUCUUUUGUUUCUUUUUGUCCUUGACCUUGCAGAGCUUGCUUACACAAUGAAGAUCACAGAGAAAUGCGAUGUGUACAGUUUCAGAGUGUUAGUGUUGGAAGUGAUCAAAGGGAAGUAUCCAAGAGAUUUUCUUUCUUCGAUUUCAUCUUCAUCUCUCAACACGGAUAUAGCACUUGAUGAAAUGUUGGACCGAUGAAAUGUUGGACCUGCGUCUUCCAACUCCAUUGAGCAAUAUUCAAGAUAGACUGCUAUCAAUCAUGGAGGUUGCAUUUUCGUGCUUAGAUGGGAAUCCAGAAUUGCUACCAACCAUGGAGACAGUCAGUCAAUUAUAAUCUAAUAAUUACGAAUAAUCCCGAGGGGUUGGAGACUAAGAUUUAAGGUGAACGGCCGCGGAGGAGUCAGAACCAUUCACUGAAAUAAUUGCCAUAACCUCAGCAUAGUAAUAAUUAAAAAAUAAUUUCUUGCUCAUGUACAAAGAGGUGAACCCCUCGAAUGUAAACUUGAAAGUGUUCACAACUGGAUUAAUUAAUGGACAAUUCAUAGUUAUUGUUAAUGUUAAAAGAAAGUAAUGGAUUGGGAAAAAAAAUAAAAAAUUAAGGAUAAUUUACAAUUAAUGUAGUCCUUGUGAUUUAAGGAAAAAUCAAGUAAGCCGGAAAUAAUUAGUACUAUUUUUCAAAUAAGUCCUCUGACCGUGUUUGACCAUUCAUCGUACUGCAAAGUAAGCAAAAAAAUCGACUUCUUAGCAGCCCACUUCUAUGAUGCGAUUAAUUUCAUCCAUUCGCUGAUUCGCGUGCUGGUAGUUAGGCAAGUUCAUUUGUUGGCUGGAGAAAUUUGAUAUUUUUGGUACCAAAUUUAUACGUGUGUGCGUGUGUGUUUCCUUUAAUUUGUGAAUUUGGUAUUACUUCUGAUCAAGUGUGCGAAACAGAAACAACGGUAUUUAUUACAGAAAUAUUUCUAAUUUGCAGUAUGGAAAGCUUGGAGAUGUUAAAUCUAUCCCAAAAUAACCUGUCAGGUUCAAUUCUAAGUAAUUUUGAAGAAAUGCAUGGCUUGUCAUUGGUUUAUGCAUCUCCUACAUUGAAUUACAGGGCCCAAUUCCAGUUGACAGAUACCCAUUUGGCGUCCGUAUGGACAAACUUGACACUCCCGCUGCCAGAUAUGUUCCAAAAUCUACUUAUAGCCAUAAUUUUGAUACAAAAGGCAAUGGAAUUAUUGACCCUUAUAAAUUAUGAAUUACAUCCUAAUCUAGUUGCUUAAUUUUGGAUAGAAAAUCUUGCUUUGAUCAUUAUACCGCUUAGAAAUAUCAAAUUCCAAGGCUCGUCAUUAAUUGGGAUAAAAUUUUAUAUCUCAGCUUUCUAAAUAAUUUACUUAUCAUUCAAAUAUAAAGUGGCCAGAGGACAUGCCGAGCGUCAAAAUGAAAGGAGAGAGGAGUAGUAGAUAAGAUACGGGUUAGAAGGAGUCACAACUUUUUUUUCCUUUUCCCCUGUUUGAUCUCAGUAUUUAUAUAAAGCAAAGAUUCGAUGACUAAAACAUGACGCUACUUAUAUAAUAUAGAGAGAGAGAUUUAUGGGUUCUGAUCUAAUGGGUAACGUGUGAAGGCCCACGUGUCCAUAAGACAAGCGAUGGUGUCUACCAGAUUAGUUCUCUGGAGUUUAGAUCACCGGGUAACACAGACAUUGACUCCUUCACUUCUCAAUUGCUCUUUUGCUUUCGCUGUAAUUGUUUUCUGCAACGUCAUUAAAUUAUAAAUGAGUGUUUGAUAACCUUUUCAAUUUCAAUCAACUUUUGUAUUACCUUAAUUAUUUUGUUUCCUUUCUGCGUAAUUGAUCUUGUGUUUUUAUAAUAUCAAUGGUAUCACAAACCUUGAAUACAGUAUCUUUUACUGUUUUGUUGAUUCUAUUUUAUACGUGUUUGUAUUAGAAUUUUUACUUAUCAUUGAAAAACCCGGGGAUGAAAUCUAACACGUACUAAUUAAUUAAAUUUAUUUCAUAAUAAUAAACUAAAUUAAUUUUUUUAAUAAUUUGAUAACUUUACCUUAAAAGCAAAACUUUGAUACGAAUUAUAACGCUUACUAUGGCAUGAACAUGGACCCUUUUUUCCCAAUCCAAAGCUUAUCCUAUGUUUGGCAAGGUUUUAUAUACUGGGAGAGGGAUAAAUAGAGAAAAACAUAUCUAUUGGAACCGUACCUCCAACAGGAUAAGUUGGGAAAAGCAAUCAAUAAUUUAACUAAUUAAUUAAAAUUAUUAAAAAAAAAAAAAGGUUGAGGGAGGGACAAAAUCAAAAUUAUUUUUUAUCCUUUACCUCCCCAUGAUACUAUCCAGUCAGGGCCUAGAGACAAAUUAAAUUAAUUAUUACUAAGAUAACAAUAUUAUAGGUAAAACAACUUAUUCUAAUUGAAUUAUUUAAUGAUACAUAUAUUACAUAAAUUAAAAAAUUAUAGAAAUUUUUAUUUAUAUUUAAUUAACUUCCAUUUACAUUGAUUCAAAUAAUAAGCAGUACCAAAUUUUUUUUUUGUUAAUAAUAUAAAAUAUGUUAUUGGCAAUAAUAAAAGAAUGUAUUACAAAUAAUAAUACAUUUAAAUAUCUUGUAAUUUAGAUGUAUAUUUUUAUUAUUUAUUUCAUGUGGGAAUCCUCCUUGUUUUUCAGCAUCAAGUUCGUUUGAUUUAUUUAGUCUCAUUUAAAUAUCUUGUUCUUCCUUUUAAAAUGUAGUUCUUGUUGUAAUAACUAAUGAUUAGUAUUUUCCAGAUAAGUUCUCUGACCGUUUUUAAUCAUUAACUAACAAUUCAUAUUUUUAACGUUUAUUAAGAAUUUUAGGUUUGUCUAUAAAUAAAUGAAAGGAAUUAAUAACAAAUUUAGUGAAGGAUGAACAAUUUUGGUAGAGUUAGGAUGUAAACGAAAAUAUAAACAAUUAAUUGUGGCAUUAAGUAUGAGAAAAACUCAAUCUAGACCACUCAUAUUUUGAUAUAUCAUUUGUCAUUAGAUCUUUAAAAGUCUAAUAAACUAAGGGUUACAAAUCCUUUUUUUUCUAACGUGCUCGAGUUCUACAGGACAUUGGAGAAGUCCUAGAAAAUUGAUCAAGGCAACCUGGCUACAAUUGAUAGAAAGGAAACGUUUAAAGUGGCUUGAUUAAUUUACAAGAACCCGGUUCGCGAGUCCAUGGUUUCUCUAGGAAGCCUCAGUCGGCUUGCGGUACCACAAUUCAUAGAAGCAUAAAAAAUAGCUUGAUGUAACAAAGAUUUGUGCGUUCUUUUAAAUUCAGCAUUUGAGUUCGUUAUGAUGAAGGGUCAGAAUCAAUCACUAAAACAAGUGCCAUAACCUCAGCAUUGUAAUAAUUAAAAAAUAAUUUCUUGCGCAUGUACAAAGAGGUGAACCACUCGAAUGUAAACUUGAAAAGUGUUCACAACUGGAUUAAAUAAUGGACAAUUCAUAGUUAUUGUUAAUGUUAAAAGAAAGUAAUGGAUUGGGAAAAAAAAUAAAAAAUUAAGGAUAAUUUACAAUUAAUGUAGUCCUUGUGGUUUAAGGAAAAAUCAAGUAAGCCAGAAAUAACUAGUGCUAUUUUUCAAAUAAGUCCUCUGACCGUGUUUGACCAUUCACCGUACUGCAAAGUAAGCGAAAAAAUCGACUUCUUAGCAGCCCACUUUAUGAUGCGAUUAAUUUCAUCCAUUCGCUGAUUCGCGUGCUGGUAGUUCGGCAAGUUAAUUUGAUGGCAGGAGAAAUUUGAUAUUUUUGGUACCAAAAUAUAUACAUAUGUGUGCGUGUGUGUGUUUCCUUUAAUUUGUGAAUUUGGUAUUACUUCUGAUCAGGUGUGCGAAACAGAAACAACGGCAUUUAUACAGAAAUUUUUCUAAUGUGCAGUAUGGAAAGCUUGGAGAUGCUAAAUCUCUCCCAAAAUAACCUGUCAGGUUCAAUUCUAAGUAAUUUUGAAGAAAUGCAUGGCUUGUCAUUGGUUUAUGCAUCUCCUACAUUGAAUUACAGGGCCCAAUUCCAGUUGACAGAUACCCAUUUGGCGUCCGUAUGGACAAACUUGACAUUCCCGCGGCCAGAUAUGUUCCAAAAUCUACUUAGCCAUAAUUUUGAUACAAAAGCCAAUGGAAUUAUUGACCCUUAUAAAUUAUGAAUUACAUCCUAAUCUAGUUGCUUAAUUUUGGAUAGAAAAUCUUGCUUUGAUCAUUAUACCGCUUAGAAAUAUCAAUUUGGGAUAAAAGUUUAUAUCACAGCUUUCUAAAUAAUUUACUUAUCAUUCAAAUAAUUAAUUGUGGCAUUAAGUAUGAGAAAAAGUCUAAUAAACUAAGGGUUACAAAUCCUUUUUUUUCUAACGUGCUCGAGUUCUACAGGACAUUGGAGAAGUCCUAGAAAAUUGAUCAAGGCAACCUGGCUACAAUUGAUAGAAAGGAAACGUUUAAAGUGGCUUGAUUAAUUUACAAGAACCCGGUUCGCGAGUCCAUGGUUUCUCUAGGAAGCCUCAGUCGGCUUGCGGUACCACAAUUCAUAGAAGCAUAAAAAAUAGCUUGAUGUAACAAAGAUUUGUGCGUUCUUUUAAAUUCAGCAUUUGAGUUCGUUAUGAUGAAGCUUCUGAGUUUCUUAAUCACCUAGAUAACAUCCUUUAUUGGCGGAGUCAAGUAUAAAAGGUGCUGAUGGGCAGGUGUGUCAAAGCAGAGUGAUUUGUGAUUAUCACACCAGUGAUCUUUACUAGCUCGGAGUGAAAAGAUCAUCCUUGUAAUCUUGUUAAUACUCUCUAUAUAUAACUUUACUCUCUUCUGAAAUCGAUUAAUCAAAUUUUUCAUUCACCUUUCAGAGCUUGCUUAAACAUACUGAAUAUUUGCCUUCCUUUUUCCUUCAGGGUAGUUACUAAAAGUUUUAUAGUCUUGAGCAUGAUUUUAUUGUCAAAGUAUAAAUUUAUUCUUUGCUUUUUACGCUUAAUUCUGCAUGACUUUCUCUCAAAUAAGCAAAUUAAUUUGCAAAUUAUGCUCAAAGUGUUGUAUCCAUUUUUUUAAUGUUAAUUAUAAGCAUUCCCUCUAAAUGAAUAUGAUCAAAUUGUUACAUGGUCCAAAUUAGAAUUACGGUCACAAUGUUAGUAUACCAGAAAUCUGGCUAGGAUCGAGAAAUAAAACUUAGUUUUGUUUGUUAAGCUGGUUGAUAUGAAUAUGAAAAGAUAUUGUAAUUCAACUUUUAAAGUCUCUUUAAUUUGUCUCGAACAUUUUGAUAACUUAAACAAAGUAUGUACAUUUGAUGACAAAAAAAGAAGGGUAUUGGAAAAGCCAACCCCAAAAUAUUUAGUCUUUCCGCUCUUUCUCUGGCAUAAUUUUCGGGGAGACAAAAUGCCCAGCAAACAAGUUAAUUUGAUCCGUUAGGAUCGAAAGAAACGUUAAUUAGUCAAUUCGAUCGUCCAAUUAUCUUGGUCACAAAUGUUUAUUCUAUUUUCUGGGACGACUUUCCAUGGACUUUAAUUGUAGUUCGAAGGAGAAUGGCUAUCAAUACAAAGAUUUUUUUAACAGAACCGCAUGCAGCAAGUGAACCUUUUGUUUGGAUAAUUUUAAUAUCCUAGAUGUCUUUGAAAACUUUUGCCUUAAGCAAUGGGGGAAAACUCUUCCCUACUUGAUCAGACUUUGACUCAUACGCCUCUCAAAUGCUUGUUUAGAGAAAGCUUGUGGGCACGAUCCCCAUACCCCUAGAAACACUCCACACGUUCAAAAUACAAAAGGUAUAUGAGGAGGGAACGAUAGAAGAGCAAGGCAAAAAAAAAAAAACUAAUUCAAAACAAAGUCAAUACCUUUACAAGAAUUCCACAUCUUUGCUAACUUAAGCAUCGGAGUGGAAUUCGGAAAUCUCAUUUUCCAAUUGUCCCAUUUCACAUUUUGGUUUAUUAUGUGUGCAAAUGACUUCCAUCUACCGCACUUGGUUCAGUUCACAUAGAAAAGAAAUACGUAUUAACAAUCCCAUAUAUUUUUUUAUUAUAUUUCUGAUAUGACUUUUCAUGUCCUUGCAUUAUAUAAAUUAAAAAAAAGGAGAAAGAGAGAGAGAAUUGAAGAAUCUUCCCGGAAAAAACAUUAACGUCAAUUCAAUCCCAGAAAUUAUGCAAUUCACUGUAAGCUAAUCCGCCUUAACAAAGCUUGAAAACGUACGUGCCGAGAGUUUUUAUUAUAAUUUCUUAUUGCUAUUUAAAUUAGGUAGUUGCGCAAGCGAACUUGAAAAUGACAUGCAAUUUUAUGAGCUGGCAUUGAUUACAUUGUAAACCAUGCAUGCGAUCUUCACUGUCAGCCAUCAAUGAUAAUGGAGGUUCUUAUGUUGAGUUUUAUUACAGUCUCUGAUUCAUACAUAUCAAGCAUUUAGUGACAGAAUAAAUUCAAAGAAUUAGACUGUAAUUUUUUAUAAAAAUUACUUCGGUUCUCUUUUUGGUGGUGCAAGGAUCAUUGACAAUAACUUAUCUUGGGACCAUACCUUUUUAUCCUGAGCCCACACUCUUACAAGGUAAAAUCAAUAGUUUUUUAUAUCAUGAGUGACAGAGAAUUUGUUUCCCAACUUUUUACAUAUAUUAUUAAUAUAAAGAGAACUUUACAUGGAGUGAUUUAAUUUAUAUAAAACUGAGCUAACAUACUGUUUUUUUUUUUUUGGCUAAAACUUUUUUAAGUAAUGACGACUAACAAAAAUUUUCACUUACAUAUUCGAGUUCCAACAUAGCAUGCCAGUGAAAAAAAUAAAAAUAAAAAUUGAAAAAAAUAAAACGUCAUCUUACUGUUUAUUUGAUGAAAACCAAAUGUUUAAAGUGACUUGAUUUACAAGAACCCGAUUAGCGAGCCCAUGCUUUGCGUAGGUAGCCUCAGUAGCCCUGCGUUGUAAUAAUUAAUAUAAGCAUCAAAAAUAAAAUUUGUUUUGAUGUAACAAAGAUUUGUACUUACUAAAUUCGGCAUUUCAGUUCGUUAUGGUGAAGUUUCUGAGUUUCUUAAUCAAGUAGAAUAGCAUCCUUUAUUAGCCGAGUCCAGUAUAAAAUUAAGGUGCUGAUGGGCAGAUGCCAAAGCAGAGUGAUUUGAGAUUAUCACACCAGUGAUCUUUGCUGGCUCUGGGUGCAAAGAUAAUGUUUGUAAUCUUGUUAAUACUCUGUAUAAAUAAUACUCUCUUCUGAAAUCCGUUGAUCAUAUUUGUCUUUCACCUUGCAGAACUUGCUUACACAAUGAAGAUUACUGCAUAUUUGUCAUUUCUUUUUUCCAAGGAAAUUAUUAUGACAGUAUUGAUUUUUGAAAUGAUUGUUUGCAAAUUUUCUAGUUUAAAAUUAAGUAUGGAUUUAUUACCAAAGUACGUUUAUUCUUUGCUUUAUGCUUAAUUCAUCAUUACUUGCUUACAGAUAAGUAAAUUAAUUUGAAAAUUAAGCUCGAAGUGUUAUAUCCAUUCUUCCAAUAUUAAUUACAAGCAUUCAAUAUGAUGAAACUGUUACAAGGUGCAAAUCAAAAUUAUGGUAACAAUGUUAGUAAAUUGGAAAGCUAGCUAGUCUCGACAAAUUCAAUACAGUCUUGUCUAUUAAAUUUGUCGAUACGAAGGUGAAUAGCAACUAUAAUUCAACAUUUAAAGCCUCUCUAUCGCACUCAUUUUAAGAUCUUAACAACGUACAUUUGAUGACAAAAAAGAAGGGUAUGGAAAAGCCAACCCCAAAAUAUUUAGAAUUUCCAUUCUCUCUCUGGCGUAAUUUUCGGGGAGGCAAAUGCCCAGUGAACAAAAGUUUGAUCAAUCAAUGAUUGGAUCCAAAGAUACGUUAAUUAGUCAAAUCUUUCCAUUCAUUUUGAUCACAAAUGUUUAUCCUAUUUUGUGGGACGACUUGCCAUGGACUUUAAUUGUCGUUGGAAGGGGAGUGGCUAUCAAUACAAAGAUUAUUUUGACAAAAUUGCAAACGUUUUGUUUGGGUAAUUUUAAAAUCGUAGAUGCCUUUUAAGACUUUUGCCUUAAGCAACAGGGAAAACUCUUCCCUACUUGAUCAAGCCAACCCCAAAGUCUAAAUCGUAGAACGUUUCUAUAUAAUUUUGGCUCGCGUGGAAAAAGCUACUCGUGGAUUCCUCCUAAUAACUCCAAUGAUUUUUCCUGAAAUUAAAACCAUAAUCUUUAGCCUUUAACCAUUUAGACUUUGGGCACGGACGAACGGUGUGUUAUGUAGUUCAUAGUUGAAGUGAAAACGGUCUAUAUUUUAGCCAAUACUCGGUUUAUGAAAACAUAUAUAUUUGUGAUCAAGAUUAAUGGACAAAUUGAUUAACGCUUUUUGUAUCCUAAAUAAACUUGUUUACUGGGCAUUUCUCCCAAAAAGAUCGCGCCAAUCUAAGAAAGGAAAAAUAUUGGCCGUACAGCACAGGGUGUUAGUUGGAAGAAAGGAAAAAUAUUGGGCGUACAGCACAGCUGCACAACCUUAAUAUCAAACGGACUCUAAAUCUAUUUGCAGAGGUACGUAAGUUCAAUUGUUGGUUUGAGAAAUUUGAUUUUUGUUGAACUGCUUUUGGCCGGGGGGGGGGGGGGGGGGGGAAUCUCUCUUCCCACAGCAGAACUGAUGUAAAUCUAAACAGGUUUAGGGUUUAUUAAAUCAUAUACUCGGGUGAGAUUCCAAAAGAACUUUGAAAGCUAACUAAUCUAAUGGAACUCAUUUUUUAGGGCGAAAGGAAUCAACUUACAGGACAUAUACCUUCAAAAAUUAGAUCUCUUAUUAUUUGAACUCAUUUUUUUGUGUGGGCUGACUCCAUCGGUUGCCCCACAAAAGUCAAUGCAGUCCGCAAUAGUUGUACCCUAAAGCAUUAUAAUUUUUCUAUUGCCAUUUAAAUUGGUAGUUGCGAAUGAGAUUAGAGUUUUAUGAGCCACCAAUACUAAUGGAGGAUCUUAUGUUGAGUUUUAUUAGCGUCUCAAAAUUCUAAACUUUUUUUUUUUUUUAAAAAAGUCCUGUACGCUGAUGGCGUAUGUAUUUUACGAUCUGGGAUUCAUACAUAUAAGGCAUUUAGUGACAGAAUAAAUUCAAAUUAGACUCGGACCACACCAUUUUAUCCUGAGCCCACACUCUUAUAAGGUAAAAUCAAUAAUUUUUAUAUCAAGAAGUGACGUAAAAUUUGUUUCCCAAAUUUUUAAAUAUAUUAUUAAUUUAAGGAGAACUUCACGUGAAGUGAUUUAAUUUGUAUAAAAAUGAGCUAACUUACUGCUUUUUUUUUUUGCUAUAAUUUGUAAGUAAUAACGUCUGCACUAAUGAAAAGUUUCAAUUAGAUAUACAAGUUCCAAUAUAUUAUGCUAGUCAUUAAACAAUAAAUAAAUAAAUAAGCAAAACAUCAUUUACUGUUUAUUUCAUGGAAACCAAAUGUUUAAAGUAACUUGAUUUAAAAAAACCCGGUUCGCGAGUCCAUGUUUUGUCUGGGAAGCCUCAGUAGCCUUGCGUUAUCACAUCACAAUUAGUAGAAGCAUCAAAAAUAGCUUUUGUUUUGAUAUAAUAAAAGGUGUGUCAAAGCAUAGUGAUUCGCGACAACCACAAAUGUGAUCUUAACUAGCUCUCUGUGAAAAGCUCGUCUUUGUAAUCUUGUUAAUACUCUAUAUAUAUAAAUAUACCCUAUUCUUAGAUCAACUGGUUAAAUUUGUCUUUCACCUUGCAGAGCUUGCUUAGAUAUACUGGAUAUUUGUCUUCUUCUUUUUUUAGGCCAAUUAGCACGACAUUAUUAAGAUUAGAUACGAUUCCUAAUCAAAUAAAAAUUUUAAAGCAUGAAUUUAUUGUCAAAGUAUUAUUUUUUGCUUUUUACGCUUAAUUCAUCAUGAUUAAUUUGAUCUCAGAUAAGUAAAUUAAUUUGUUAUGCUCAAUGUGUUAUAUACAUUCUCCUACUAUUAAUUAUAUCUAAAUGAAUAUGAUCGAACUGUUACAUGAUCCAAAUUAAAAUUAUGGCCACAAUGCUAGUAAAUUGGAAAGCUAAGCUAGCAUCGCUAAAUUGAACUUAGUUUUCUUUGUUAAACUGGUUGAUAUGAAUAUGACAAGAAAUUGUAAUUCAAGUUUUAAAGUCUCUCUGUCUCAACCAUUUUAAUAUCUUAAUAAAAAGGUACAUUUUAUGGCAAAAAAUAUUUAGACUUUCCAUUCUCUAUCUGCCAUAAUUUUGGGGAGAAAAAUGCCCAGUAAGCAAGUUUGAUCAGUCGCUGUUAGGAUCCAAAUAAAUGUUACUUAGUCAAUUAAUUUGUCCAUUAAUCUAGACCGCAAAUGUUUAUUCUAUUUUCAUAAGUCAACCCCAGACCUUGGGCAUGGAUUUUUUUUUAAAAAAAAUUGUCAUAAUAUGAGAAUCUAAAAAUUUAGAUUUAUCGUGUGUUUACUUGUGAAAUCGGGAAAUCGAAAUUCACAGUGAGAAUGAUUUUGAAAUUGUUAUUUUCGACUUGUUAAAAUGGAAUGAAGAAUCAGAAUGAAAUAUGCAGGAUCCACAUAUUUUUGAGUCAAGGAAAAGAAAUUUGAUUCACAUGAGAUUGAGAAUCAAGUUUUCAUUCCUUGAACUCACCAUUUUACCCCCCCCCCCCCCCCACCCCCUUCACAUUUCAUAAUUUCAAUUUUGUGCUCAAUUAAAAUGUUAUUAUAUUAAUGUAAUAAUAAUAAUGAUAAUUUUUAAAAUAACAAUAAUAAUCAUAAUAAUGAUAAUAUAAUAAUAAUGAAAAUAACAACAACAAUAGUAAUAAUAACGAAAAGUAAUAAUAUUAAUAAUCACAAUAAUAAUAAUGAAAAUAUAAUACUACUAUAAAUAACUAUUAUAAUGAUAGUAAUAAUACUUUGCAAUUACUAAUUUCAUCAUUUCACAAAUCACCUCCAGUGGCGGAUCUUGGGCACCUUGCGGAUCUUGUCGUUUAUGAUACCCACCUUUUAAAAGAAGAAGAUGAGGAUGACGAUGAUGUGGUGUGUGUGCGUGUUACAAGAUGAGGAUGACGUUUGGUUUUAAGAAAGAGGAGGAGAGGAGGGGUAAAAAAUGGAGAGGAGUGGAGAGGUAAUGAGAGGAUAGGAGUGCAAAAAUUGAUAUUUAUUGUUUGGUUUCAAUAAAAAAAAAUUAAAAGGGAAAGGAAUUACAUGUUUUUUUUAAUUUGGACAAGUAUACCCAUUGGAAUUUAGUGUUAAAAUGUUAAUAUUAGCAGUAAAUAUAAUAAAAAUAAUUAAACUAUAAGUUAAAUUAAUCUAUAUUAUAAACUAAAAAGAAAACAUUUGAUUUUAUAUUAUAUUUUUAAGUCAUUCAUUAUUAUUUUAUAAUCAAAAUAACUAACCAACAAGUAGUGGAUGGACGACUACAAGUCGUAUAUCGACGUAGAAGAACAUGACAUACGGCUCAAACGGUGAUUGAUUUACUGAACUGCAACCAAAGGAACCAUUUUUUGGAUAAUUUCAGAGCAAUAGUAUUCAGACUACUAUGUAAAAAAUAUCCUAAUCUUGGAAAACUUUUCCACCUUAUGAAACAUUGGAAAAAUCUUCCAACUUGACGCAUCGACUUGUUGACCUCUCAAUUGCUCGUGUGUGGCUUCUAUAAAUUUGGCGUCCAACAUGCUGGUUUUGUGCACCGUUACAUGUUUUUCAAAAGCUAAGAAUGAUCAAAAGAUCUUUUGAAUUUCGAUAAACUCCGGUUUAACAUUAUUUAUUUGAUUGUGUUUUUGUAAUAUCAAUGGGGUCACCAACCCUCAAUACAGUUGUUCUUUCACUUGUUUUGUUGAUCUUAUUUUUUGUGAUUAAGUUUUUUAGUAGCUGUUUCUUCAGAAACUAAUGAAGAAGCGGAUGCUCUUCUCAAAUGGACAGCCAGCCUUCAAAUCUAUAACCGAUCUCUCCUUUCUUCUUGGAUUAAGGACACCUCCAAUGUUUCAUCCAAAAUAAGCCCAUGUGCUUGGUCCGGAAUCAGUUGCAUGAUGCCGGAAGAGUCAUCAAGAUCAGCCUCCCAGGUGUCGGAUUAAAAGGUAAGCUUCACGAUUUCUCAUUCUCAUCGUUUCCUCAUCUUGCUUAUCUUGAUCUCAGUAGUAGUGGACUCUUUGGUACUAUCUGUUGUGCGCGGAAUGCGGAAUCAAGCGCACCAAAUAAUUACUGAAAAAUAAAGGACACAAGAAUUUACGUGGUUCGGUAAUUAAACCUAUAUCCGCGAAGGCAAGAAAGAAUAAUUGUUUAUUUAACAAUUAAUAGAAUACAAUAUUUGAGUAACGAAUCUCACUUCCCAGAAACCCAAAUAUACCCAGUACUCUCACACUCUGCAGGAAAGAUAAAUUCCUCAGACACACUUCUCUCACUUCUCUCAAAAGCUUAGAAACUUAUAAGCUUAACAAUUUUGGGAUAAUUAAGAAUGGAAGAAGUGCCAUCUAUUUAUAGGGAAAAUAAUGGCACUAUUGCACCAACCCAUUUACUAUUCCACCUAACCUAAGCCAAUAGUCAAUGGUGUCCAUUUGGCAAAUUUGACAAAUUUGCCAACUUUCCAUUUUUUCUUCAAAUGUUUGGUAGCCAUUUGAAAUUUUGCAUUCAUUUUUGAAUUUCAAUGUCACGUGCAUGACUUUUCAACAAUUCUCCACCUCGGCGAAAAUUUGUCCAAAUCUGAGCCGACUACCAACGAACCCUCAUCCCCAAAGUGAUCCUUCAAUAAGGAUCCAGAAUGGCUGUGUCGAUUCGACUACCUACGUACCCAAAAUUUGGGAUCAAGGCAACCGUAGUUCAUAAUUCCCGAAACUCAACGCAUUCGAAGAAUUAUUUUCAAUCCGUAUAAAGAUUUACUCAAUCUGCACACACGAUUUUCCUUUCCAGCAACUCUGAAACCACAAGGCUAAAUCAUAUAGAUUUCCUCCUCCAAAUCUCCAUGUAAGAACGCCGUCUUAACAUCCAACUGAGCCAACUCUAACUCAUAUUCUGCAACUAAGGCAAAUAGGAUACGAAUGGAAGUAUGUUUUACAACUGGAGAGAAAACUUCAUUGUAGUCAAUACCUUCCUUUUGAGCAAAACCUUUUGCCCUGAGCCUUGCCUUGUAUCGAGGAGUUGUUUGAUUCGAAGAUCCUUGCUUUUUGGUGUAGACCCAUUUAUUGCCAAUAGCCCUUUUCCCCUUUGGUAACUUUACAAGUUCCCAAGUCUGGUUUUGAUGGAGAGAUUUCAUCUCUUCCUCCAUGGCUAGCUUCCACUGAUCACUUUCAUUGCUGCGUAAUGCUUCACCGAAAGUAUUGGGGAUGUCAUCAUCAAUAACUGGAAGUGCAUAGGCUACCACCAUAUCUUUAGUAAGCCAUCCGGGUUUCUUUAUCUCUCUUCUUGGCCUCCUUGUUGCUAUAAAAUCAUCAUCAUCUACAUCAUCAAUUAUUUCUUCAUUUUGUGGGACAUCAGAAGAAACAACCUCUUCUUCAACUUUAGGUGUCACCUCCAUAGUUGAACCAUUCUUUGAUGUAGAACUAACUAGUACAUAUGGAGUUGCAUCAAACUCCACCCGCUGCAAUACCUCUGUGGUCUUGUUCUCCACCUGCUGAGAACUUGAAGCUUUUAUCAUUGAAGCUUCAUCAAAUGUGACAUCUCUGCUACACACAAACUUUUUGUCUUCGAGAUCCCAAAGCUUGAAGCCCUUUACUCCACCUUUGAAUCCCACAAAGAUAGAUUUUCUAGCACGAGGAUCCAGUUUACCAUCUUUGACAUGAUAAUAAGCUGGACACCCGAAUACACGAAGGGAAUCAUAGUCUUGUGCAUGCUUUCUAGACCACAUUUCCAUAGGAGUUUUACCUCCAAUUGCAGCAGAAGGCAACCGAUUUACCAAGUGACUUGCGUAGCUCACAGUUUCAGCCCAAAACUUUUUAUCUAAACCAGCAUUAGAUAACAUACAUCGUACCUUCUCCAGUAAAGUACGAUUCAUACGCUCAGCCACACCGUUCUAUUGCGGAGUAUGUCUCACCGUGAAAUGUCUUUUAAUACCCUCGUUCUGGCAUACUUGCAAGAAUGGAUCAAAAGUAUAUUCACCCCUAUUAUCAGAUCGUAAUACUUUGAUCUUUCUGCCAGUUUGAGUCUCCACCAAUUUCUUCCACUUCACGAAAAUCUCUAGAACCUCAUCCUUUGCUCGCAUGGUGUACACUCAUACACGUCUAGAGAAAUCAUCAACAAAUAUAACAAAAUAAUGGCUUCCACCAAUUGAUGCAGUCUUGGUUGGUCCCCAUACAUCACUAUGAACAUAUUCAAGGAUCUCACGAGUAUCGUGAUUAGCUGUACCAAACUUCACCCUUGUUUUCUUGCCUACUACACAAUGCUCACAGAAAUUUAAUUUACAGGUUUUGGUACCUUUUAAGAGUCCAUGCCUCAUCAGAGUUUGCAAAGACUUCUCUCCUGCAUGUCCCAGUCGUACAUGCCAUAGCUUGGUGGUGUCACUGUGCGCCUCAACAACAUUUGCUUCAUCAGUUGUACCUCCCUUCAAAUAGUACAGAUUGUGACGCCGAACCCCUUGCAGAAUCACCAUAGCCCCAUGUGUAAACUUCAUUGUGCCAUCUUCAAUGGUAACUUUGUAACCUUUAGCUUCCAAAGCACCCACAGAAAUUAGAUUUUUCUUUAUCUCUGGAACAAAUCUAACCUCUUUGAGUUCUCUGACCAUUCCAUCAAACAUUUUGAGCCGAAUUGUUCCUAUCCCCAUUGUGCGACAAGGUUGAUUAUUCCCUAUCAUAACUGCACCGGAUUCCAGAUUACGAAAAUCCGUAAACCAUUCCUUAAUAGGACACAAAUGAUAGGUUGCUCCAGUAUCAAGUAUCCACUCACUCGAACUAGCCACGUAUGCUGCAGGAGUAAUACUUAGUGAAUAAUCAGAGUUCUCAUCUUUCUGUGCCAUGUUUGCUGCUGCUGGUUUCUUCUCAUCUCUCUUUUGAGCCUUUGGACAAUCUUUUCUCCAAUGGCUCUUUUCAUGACAAAAGGCACACUCAUCUCGAGCUAUAUUUCUGCUUCUCGAUUUGGAUCGAGAAUUCUUUCCACCACGCUUCUUCUGUUUCUCCAUCGCCCAAUCUCUGCUCACCAAAGCUUCAGACGAUGCUCGUUCAGAAUUUUUAUCAUUAUUCCGAAUCUCCAAACUAGUCAAUGUUGUGCAAACAUCUUUAAAGACGAUCACACUCUUCCCAUAUAUCAAAGUAGUCACAAAAUGGCUAUAUUCCUCUGGUAGUGAGUGUAACAGAAUCAUAGCAUUGACUUCAUCUUUAAUAUCUUCAUCAAGAUUCUUCAAAUCAGCAAGUAACUUUUCAAAUCUUGAAACAUGAUCGUGCAUUGACACCCCAGACUUCAUUCGAAAGCCAUAUACUUGGCUCAUUGCAUGAAGACGAUUUUCAGGACUUUUCACCAGGUACUUCUCUUCCAAUGUACGCCACAAAGUCACUGCACACUCCUCAUCUUUCACCAAGUAUUUCACCUCCUUGGUCAAACAAGAUCUGAUCUGACCACAAGCUUUCUCGUUCAUACGAUCCCAAAUUUCUUCAUCAUACAAGUGUCUUUUAUUUUUCAGAACAACAUCGAGAUCGAUUUGAAUAAGGGCAUCCAUAACUUCGCGCCUCCACAUGCCGAAGUUGAUUUUCCCAUCAAACUUUUCAACAUCGAUCUUCUGGCCUCCUAUAACAGGUGCUGAAUAGCGAUUUGACAAAUCUCGCCUCCCACCUAAAUUAUCUCCUGAAAUAGUCUCGAUAGAUUUCUCCCCAAUUCUGGAAGUUUCACCUUCUACCAUUUUUCUCAACGAACUAUUUCCACUUGAAAAACAGCCUCUAUGAUGUUAAUUUCGCGUGAAUAAAUGCACCAGGAAAGUUCCCAGGAAACUGGACGGGAACUCGGUCCCAAUUAAAAACCAGAAUCCUUAGACUCUUAUCGCCUUUUUUGACAGAACUUUCCUAGACAUGCAAAAAUAUACACUACUUACAAUAGACUGUCUCCCAAGUACAAAUGGCCGUCUCCACCGUAUUCGUGAAUAGUACCAUAUACGUGAACAGUACCGUAUACGUGAACAGUACUGUAUCCCCCCAAGUACGAACCGUCGGCUCUGAUACCACUUGUUGUGCGCAGAAUGCGGAAUCAAGCGCACCAAAUAAUUACUGAAAAAUAAAGGACACAAGAAUUUACGUGGUUCGGUAAUUAAACCUACAUCCGCGAAGGCAAGAAAGAAUAAUUGUUUAUUUAACAAUUAAUAGAAUACAAUAUUUGAGUAACGAAUCUCACUUCCUAGAAACCCAAAUAUACCCAGUACUCUCACACUCUGCAGGAAAGAUAAAUUCCCCAGACACACUUCUCUCACUUCUCUCAAAAGCUUAGAAACUUAUAAGCUUAACAAUUUUGGGAUAAUUAAGAAUGGAAUAAGUGCCAUCUAUUUAUAGGGAAAAUAAUGGCACUAUUGCACCAACCCAUUUACUAUUCCACCUAACCUAAGCCAAUAGUCAAUGGUGUCCAUUUGGCAAAUUUGAAAAAUUUGCCAACUUUCCAUUUUUUCUUCAAAUGUUUGGUAGCCAUUUGAAAUUUUGCAUUCAUUUUUGAAUUUCAAUGUCACGUGCAUGACUUUUCAACACUAUCCCGCCUCAAAUUAGCAACCUUACGAAUCUUAGCAACCUUUAUUUAACAUCCAAUCAAUUGUCAGGAAAUAUUCCGCCAGAGGUUGGUCUUCUGAGUCAUUUGAAGUUCCUUUACGUUGAUUCGAACCAAUUAGAUGGCUCAAUUCCACCAGAAGUAGGUCAAUUAAGUUCUCUGGUGGAGCUUUUCUUGUUCUCUAACAACUUGAACGGUUCAGUUCCUCCUUUAGGUAAUUUGACACACAUCUCUUUAUUGUACAUUCGUGAAAAUUCAUUUUCUGGUUUUAUUCCUCCGGACAUUGGAAACUUGAAAUCUAUGUCCAUCCUAGAUUUGAGCAAUAAUCAAUUUAGUGGUCCAAUCCCUGUUUCUUUCGGUAAUUUGGCCAACCUAAAAAAACUAGACCUCCUUUAUAACAACAUAUCCGGUUCCAUUCCUCCCUCCCUUGGGAAUUCAAUGUUAACCUUGGUAGGAUUGGAUUUCAAUCAUUUUACAAGUUAUUUACCGCACAAUAUUUGUCGAGGUGGAGCAUUACAGUAUUUUACUGUUUCUGAAAACCACUUUCAAGGAACAAUCCCUAAAAGCUUGAGAAAUUGCACAAGCUUAAUCCGAGUACGCCUUAAUGGAAACAACCUUACUGGAAAUAUAUCAUAAGCUUUGGGCAUUUAUCCUAACCUGACUUUCAUAGAUCUCAGCCGCAAUAAUUUUUACGGUGAAAUCUCAUCUAAUUGGGGGAAAUGCCCAAAAUUAGGCACUCUCAAUGUUUCGAUGAAUAGCAUUAGUGGAGGUAUAUCGCGCGAGAUCGGAAACAUGUCUCAACUACAAGCACUCGAUCUUUCAUUGAAUCAUAUAGUUGGGGAGAUUCCAAAGGAACUUGGAAAGUUAAAUUCUCUAACCAAGCUCAUUUUGAGAGGGAAUCAACUGACAGGGCGUCUACCUACAGAAAUCGGCUCACUCAUUGAACUUGAAUACCUCG
rnacentral:lncRNA from 1 species